AUGAGUUGGACCGCAGAGUGAAUGAAAAGCAGCCAACAAGUGCUCAGCAUAUGUGGGAACUCCUUCAAGGCUGUAGGAAAAGCAUUCCAGGUGAAGCUGGUGGAGAACAACAUCUUCAAGAGGGCCAGGACGAAGGGGAGGCUGCCUCCGCUGCAGAUAGAACUCCUCCUGCAGUUCGUCCGGGGGGAGAGGUCGUCUACUCCACCUGCUCCCUGUCCCAGCUGCAGAACCAGUGCGUAGUGGAGCACGCCAUGCACCUGGCAUCAGCCUGCAGGUAGCCGACCUUCGACCCCUCACACACCUCUUUAAGGACACCUUCCACUUGGCCCCAGACCUCCACCUGGGACAGCUGGUCCUGCCCACCUCACCACUAACUUUGGGCCCAUCUACAUGUGCAAGCUGCAGAGGUUGAUCUAAAACUGAUGGACAUGGAUUCACUUCAGUACAACCUUAUUGAUCCCUUCGGGGGCGACCUGAUUUAACCAGUUUUAACAGUCAUUUUUCAAUGGACUUAUGCAUUUGUAUGCAGUGCUACCUUUGACCUCUAGGUGUCAGUAUUAGACAAUUAUACAAGUCAGAGCUCUCUGUAUUGAAAACAGGGCUCGAAGUUACUAGACCCAUAGAUUAGCUUUAAAUUAUUUUAAGGAUAAACUCAGCCUACACUCGAAACAUUGCCCUGUCAAAUAAACAUAAUGUUUAUUUGUUUAUAGAUCAUUAUGCCCAGUCACUGAGGUUGAAAUAAACCAAUUCAAGUCUG